rnacentral:tRNA from 1 species
GCUCUCGUGGCACAAUGGUUAAGCACCUGGCUGCUAACCAAAAGGUUGGUGGUUCAAGCCCACCCAGCAGCU